UACGGAGGAUGCGAGCGUUAUCCGGAAUGAUUGGGCGUAAAGGGUGCGUAGGCGGCCUGCUAAGUCUGGAGUGAAAGCCCGGGGCCCAACCCCGGGACUGCUUUGGAAACUGCCAUGCUGGAGUGCUGGAGAGGUAAGCGGAAUUCCUAGUGUAGCGGUGAAAUGCGUAGAUAUUAGGAGGAACACCAGUGGCGAAGGCGGCUUACUGGACAGUAACUGACGUUGAGGCUCGAAAGCGUGGGGAGCAAACAGG
rnacentral:rRNA from 1 species